rnacentral:lncRNA from 1 species
AUGGAGGAGCUUCGUGCCGGCACCCACAGCACGCGGUCCCCGGGCUGCCGGUGGCACGGCAGGAUGCUCCACUCCCCACCUCCCAUCGCCCCUCAGCUACGGCAUCUGCCUAUAAUCUGCCUAAGGAUACGAGGACCCUGCAGAGGGUUCUGGACCGGCCGAUCGAUGGCUGAUGCCAACGGCACGAGGUUCAACGCCACCAAAUGCCGGGUCCCGCACUUCGGUCACAACGACCGCAGGCAUCGCCGCGGGCAGCCGGGCUGGGGCCACCGGAACGCGCGCGGUGAUGACGCAAUGACGACGCGACCGCGGGCGGAAAGGACCCCGCGCGGAGCGCCCAUCCCGUUCCGCAGGACGACCAAUGACAGCGCGGCGGAGGCGGGGCCGAGCGCGGGCUCUCCGCCAAUGGCAACUGCGGCCGCGGGGCCGCCGCGAUGGCGCCGGAGCACUAGCGGAGCCGCAGGGCUCCGUGCGGGGAAAGCAGUGCUCCGCUGCCCCGCGUCCCCGCCGCCGCCGGCCCCGUGCCUCGGGGACGCCGGGCGGUCAGGGGAAGGCGGCGCGGGGGCCCGUUCGUCCCCCGUCGGCACCGAGCCGUCCUCCGGAGUCGCCGUUCGGACGGGAGCCGGUUGGGAACGCGGUCAUUUCUCUGUUUGUUGCUAUGUGCGUUCAUUGAAUAAAUGUUCAAUGUUCGUUUCGUCUGCCCGCGGUCAUUUCUGCAGCUCCAGUAACCCACCCCGUCCCCGUGCCAACCGCUGGGUAAGGACGGGACGGCGCAAACGGCCGUGUCGUAGGACUGCGACCGCCGGCCCCGUUUCUCCCCCCCAGAUCCCCUCCCCUCUUCAGCACCGAGUGGGAAAUGGCUUGGGUGGGAUUCUGAGAGAGCUGGAGCGGCUCCACCUGCAGAAGAGGAGGCUCGGGGGGAUCCCGGGCACGGCCAUCAGUCCCUGCAGGGAAGUGCAGAGAGGUCGGAGCCAGGUUGCACCCGGCGGUGCCCAACAGCAGGACCGGAGGCUCACGCUGCAGCACAGCAGGUUUCCCCGCAGAGCUGUCACCGCCGCGCUGCUUCCCCCUGCUUGCACUAGGAGGCUGCACAGCCCGUGCAGACAGUGCACACCCAGAGGUGCCCGUCCCAUGCAGCACGUCCAGCAGCUGGGGGAUGUUGAGGUGGUUGCAGUGAGCCAAGAGCUGCAGCUCCUCCAGCUCAGGUUUCCUUGUAUGUCACCACUGAACCCCCAGCUCGGGUCAGCGCCGUUGGAUAUUUUUGCCAGUGAUCACGAUGCAGGAGAUGAGUGCAUCCUUGUGAAAUCCAGCGUGCGUGCUAAAGGACGAGGUGCUGCUGGCACUCCUGAGGUUUUUAAGGGGCAGCAGAGAAAACUGGAGGGCUCAGGGCAGUAA